GUCAGGACCCCCACGCACAUCAUGCGCUCUGUCAGCUGGUCGGUCAGCAGCCGGUUGCAGACAGUUUGGUUGAUCACCCGGAUUUCUGCUUUCUGCAAGAUGGUGGAUCCGCUGCCUGCAAGGACCAGAAACAGCGAUUCUCCCCGAAAUCCACCUGUCUCUGAUGGUGCUAAACCAGGCAGCCCCGAGAUCUGUCUUCCUGCUGCACAAAGUGUCCCAGCUCCCACCUACCUGAUGCCUUGCAGCUCCAGGAAGCAAUGUGCUGCUGACACCAGCCAGGUCUCUGAGAUGAGUGAAGCUCCACAGACAUGGCCCUGGCUCUUGGCAUGGAGGCUGACCUGCCACGGCCACUCUCCCACAUCUGAGUUCUGCC